rnacentral:lncRNA from 1 species
AGACCACCACGGUGACUUGCAAGCAACUCACUGCACUUAGGCACUAGACUACCUGAAUUUCUAAUUCAGUGACGGAAGGCUGCUGGGUGUAGUCAAGUACUUGACUUGUCGGUGCGCGUGUCAAGAUGGGAUUGACCACUCCUGUUCAGGAGCUAUGUAUAGUCAUAUUUUAAUUUAGCAAAACCUUGGCCAGGGUAGUCCUAG